UUAUUUAACUAAACAAUGGAAUAAACAUUAUUUAGUCGCAAACUUCAAUAGCAAAACCAAAGUGCCCCAGGUGUCAAUGUAACCAUGUCGACGAAACCAUCGGGCAUUGUGGAUAAAACAAAGGCGCAUCGGUGACGUCACGCCGAGCCCAGAGUGCCGCGCGGCGUGCCGGAGUGAUGGCGUGUCCGUGUGCCGUGCGUGUUGAGGUCCCCGGCGUGUGUGUCGCGUGUCGUGUGUCGUGUGGCUGGCGGCGGCGUGCUGAGGCGGUCCUACGCGAGGAUCAAGCAGUACACCCGAUGGCCGGCCGGACCCUAUCUCUCCUUCGGGGGCCAAGUUGUGAUUUGCUUGACAGGAGCCGUGGUGCUGAACACUGGAGGCUGAAUGUGACGCUCCUUGUUGGCCGCUAUGAUGAUGAUGUGGUUUGGCUACUACCAGCUGAGAGGCCACAUCAUGCUGUCCUGAAGACUGGCCAGCAACCCGGACUCUAGAGCAGUGGCUUGCAUUGAGAGAACAACAAGAAGAAGAGGAAGAGGAGGAGGAGGAAGAGGAAGAAGAGGAGGACACAGGAAUUCCUUG